AUCCCGAGAUCAGAACCAAUUAGGUCAUAUUCCUUGAGUGCUGCUUCCAUCUCUGCUGCUACAACAGUGCCAUCAUCCAUGCUGCCAUCAAUGGUGCCCAUAUGAAGAAGAUCGGCAUAGUACUUCUCUUUCUCAGCAUCAUGUUCAAAGGGUUCAAUUGCAGGGCCCUGCAUGUUCCAUCAACUUACAGGAGGAAAAAGUUGACACUAUUGUAAGAGAAAAAUGACUUGCAACAUACAUCUUCAGGAAAGCAGGGAAAAAUGACCUUGUGGGUUUUUAUUAUGGAAUCUUCUUUUUGAUUUACGCAAAAUAUAUAAUACAUAAUAUCUAAAUAAUUUCCAUGUCAUAGAAGAAGCAUAUCUGACUUGGCUGGCAAUCUCUUGAAGAAAUUGACAGGCACUGAUGGCAGCUUGCUUCUGAACCAGGCACUGAUGGCAAUCUCUUAAUUUUUGCGUAAUGAUAUCACAUAUUUUGUGCAGCAACUACUGUAAAACUUCUGUUGUUGAUUUCCACAAAAGCUGUCCAAACUGUUUUUAUGACCUUUGCCUUACUUGUUGACGGGAGGUCCGUGAUGGUCACUUGCAGGGAGGUGGGAAGGGAGUAAUCUUAUUAUACAAUAUUUUCUUAUUUGGUUAGUUAAACACAUUUUCGAUAGCUAUACAAGAGUUGAAAAAGCAUCAGCUGAGCACUGAUGCCUCAGGUGUGCUACUUGGUGCUUGUUUUUCUACUUUCUUAUUUGGUUAGUUAAACACAUUUUCGAUGACAAAAGAUCUAAGUAGUGUUUGGAGCAUAUUAAACAAAUUUUCAGAUGUUUGCUUCAUAUAUGUAUGACAAAAGAUCUAAGUAGUGUUUGACUUUAUAUUAAAUUAUGUUUGCUUCAUACCCGUAUGGCUCCAAGGGCAUCAAAUCUUAUUAUACAAUGAGUUUAGUUAACCUAAAAAUUUGUGGUCAAUGGUUGUCUUUGGCAUGUUGUCAAUAUGCCACAGAAUUCGAAAAAAGGUCAGUGUUCCUUUAUGAAGUAGCUGCAGAAGGUCAUUUUUGUGAUAACAUUGGCUUUGUGUGAAUUCAUUUUUUUUUUUUUUUUGAAAAGUGUUCCUUCCACAACCAGCUACAUGGAAUUCCAUUGUCCACCCAACUAUGAUUUUUCCUGCAUGCACGAGGGGAAAUUUGACAAUGUUAGAAGUUGUAGUUGUCUUCUUCUGAAACCUGCUUCUGCAUUUUGCUCUUUCCUCUUGUUCAUUAACAUUGCAGUGUUCUCAUUUCCUCUUAGAAUUGAAGAUAUAUUCUCAUUAAGUGGGUAUUGACUGCAGGAAGAGGCUUCUUCAUUCUCUUGGACUGGUUUUUGGUUGUAUAAUUGCUUCAUCUUUGGGAUUUCGGGAUGGAUAGGAGUUGGAUGCAACUUCAUAAUAGAAGGUUACAUCAAUGCAUUGAUGGGGUAAAAGAAUUUAUCAUGGAUGUCCAAAGGGUGUCACACCUAAGUACAACUUGAAGCCUCUUGUGCCAAUGCUGUUUGAUAUAAAACAUGACAUUGAUGUUGAGAAAAUGCUUUUUUAGAUA